CACGCGAGAACCUCCCUACCCGGGUCUGUCUUCAAGGAUGACACCUUCCGUCUGCCUUCCUGCCACCAAGGACCACCUGUGGAUGACGAGCUGAUGCCCAGAGGACGCCAGGAGCAGGGGUUCCUGGAUCCCACCAGCAAACAAAGCAACCACUGGGCAGUGACCGCCCCCCCAGGCCGCCGAAGAUUGAAGAGGACCCGAACUGACCAACCAGCUGUCCCUCUUGGCUAAGUGUUGAAACCAGUGCCCUAGUGAGGGGGCACUGGCUAACCUCGGACUUUCGAUGUGCUUUUUGCCUUGAUGCUUUGCUUUUCUAUGUGCGUCUGCUUCUGUUAACCUUCCAUCAACCUGGAGGUUUCACCAUCCCAGGGAGGUGUCAGUCUUUCUCAGUCCACCCCGUCAUUAUCCCCAGGAUGGUCUGAAAGGAAGGGUCCCUUUGGGAACGUCUCAGGAGGGAGACCUGGGCCAAGGGCUCGGCCAGCAUCUCCCUGGCAAUUCCAAGGCCCAGGGUGGGCUUCUGGAAGGAGCAUGAUUCCCGAGGCCAUGCUACUGAACUGCCAGGGGUAUCCCCACCUCUUCCAGAUCUCCUCGUCCUUUCUGGGGAACUGGGAUCGAGAAAAGCAACCUCCCAGGGUGUUGUGAGUGUUGGUCCG
rnacentral:sRNA from 1 species